rnacentral:lncRNA from 1 species
CGGGUUGGGUCAGGUCCAUUACUAAAAUUUAUGACCCAACGGGUCAUUCGGGUCGAGUCCAUGUGCAAUUCGAUCCCAACCCAAAAAAAUUGGAUUCAGGUUGGUUCCGAUUUAGGUCAGAACAUUGGAAGUCAUUGCAGAAAUUACAAAGUAAAAAAAUAAACUAUAUACAAUAGAAUAAACAAAUCAUCACAGUGAAAAUAGUGUUUUUCUUUUUAGAACCCAUAACUCAGAUGUUCUGUAUGUCUUGGUUGUCUAGGCAUAGAUUAUACAAAGUUGGCAAGAAAAGUUGGCAGUUCAAAC